AAUGUCUUCACGAGGUGAAAAUAAAAGUCAUACAGAGGAAGGUACUUGGAAGUGCAAGUGCCCAUUUGCGCACAUGCCCUUAUAUUUAUAAAAAGGUAUUAAUCCCAUAUGCACCGGUAGUCAUUUCGAGUCUUUGGUGGGACACAUCAUCGCAGCUCAGCCCCAAGGAACUGUAGGCUCACGUUAUUACCAGCAAGUGAAAAGUAGGAGGAUGGACUUGCAAAGACCAUCUCCAUCAACUUCACUGAAUUCCCCGAUAGACUUUUACAUGCACAUCUAACCUCGAGCAAAGAUACAGUGAGGCAGUGAAUUAAAAAGUAGCCAAGUAUGUGCCCAGAAUAGCAAGUGCAAGUGGGCAUCCAGCCGUCCGUGUGCUGCAGCAUAAGGAAGGGUGGCUGGCAAUUAGCAGUUCAGAGAGACACGGGGAAAUCGCAGGUCACCUCCUGGCUCUGCCACAAAUUUCCUUUGUGCCCUUGCCCAAUUCACUUCAUCUCCUUGUUCUUUGUGCUGAAGCUAAGGCAAAGAGGCAAUAGCACCUCCCCACCGGUGUUGUACCUUGGCAUUGUGAGGAGGCAGGGCGCAACUCUGCCUGUGUCUGUACACGCCUGAGUGAAGAGGAGGCCAGAUGAGAGCUGCCCAGGUGUGCCAGUGGUCUGCAAAGUAAUUACAUCAAAUAUCUGGAUCAACAAUGAAACUUCACAAUGUUUGUCCAUUUGGGGACAGGUUUUUGUGUCUGUGUUUGUGCACUGGAGGGGAAGAAGGUCUGCUGUCCUCCUGCAUCUGACGGUUGGCUUUAAGGUUUAGGACACUGAAUGGCUCAGCAGAGAGACCUCAUCCUCCAGCACAGCACCAGUGCCUCGGAGAUGAUGAUGUAGUCCCUAUGUGGGCCGCAGAAAGCACUUCGAGCCGUGCUGGAGUCGUGCUGGGUGGCUCUGAUAGCAGAGCUAAUGGGAGCGAAUGGGAUGCAACGAACUGUUCUAAUGACACCAGCCAGGGAAGAGACAACAGAGAUGAUGCAACAAGACUCAGAUGCUCUUGCUGACAUUACCCCAUGUGCCCGGGCUUUUCACAGCUCGACAUGGGAAGCAGGCUGGAGGGCUUCGUGGCAGCAGGACCUGCCAGACCAUGCCGGGUGCUGGGAGGAAGGAGCUCUAAGAGGGACUGUCCCCCUCUGGUCCCCACUUUGCUUUACUACUUCUGCAUUUCAGCCUGUCAGCUUGAAGUGGGCAUUGGGAGACUCUGUCGUUGCAAAUCCCAGUCACACUUGGAGGAGGACGAUGAACACUUUUUUCCAAAUGUUGAACCUGUCUCUCUCUACUGUAGCUCUUUGCAGUAAUUAAAUUAUGUAAUGCAAAGCUUAAAGCCACUGAAAACAUAAUUACAAAAUGUAUAAUUAGUUCAUUAUAAAGGAUCAGCUGGCCUACC